rnacentral:rRNA from 1 species
UACGUAGGGACCGAGCGUUGUCCGGAAUCAUUGGGCGUAAAGAGCGUGUAGGCGGCUAUUUAAGUCCUGCGUGAAAUCCUGCGGCUCAACCGCAGACGGUCGUGGGAAACUGGAUGGCUAGAGUGCGGGAGAGGAGAGUGGAAUUCCCGGUGUAGCGGUGAAAUGCGCAGAUAUCGGGAGGAACACCCGUAGCGAAGGCGGCACUCUGGGCCGGUACUGACGCUGAGGAGCGAAAGCGUGGGGAGCA